GCUCCAGUGGCUUAGUGAUUAGAGUAUCCACCUCAGAUGUGGGAGGUCAUGGGUUUGAUCCCCAGUUGAGUCA